UACGGGGGGGGCAAGCGUUGUUCGGAAUUACUGGGCGUAAAGGGCUCGUAGGUGGCCAACUAAGUCAGACGUGAAAUCCCUCGGCUUAACCGGGGAACUGCGUCUGAUACUGGAUGGCUUGAGUUUGGGAGAGGGAUGCGGAAUUCCAGGUGUAGCGGUGAAAUGCGUAGAUAUCUGGAGGAACACCGGUGGCGAAGGCGGCAUCCUGGACCAACACUGACGCUGAGUGAGCGAAAGCCAGGGGGAGCAAAACGGGG
rnacentral:rRNA from 1 species